GGUUGGUGCUGCCGAGGCGAUCAGCUGACUCUGGAUCAGCCAAAUCGAAGGUUCGAAUCCUUCCUCCCCAGCCG
rnacentral:tRNA from 2 species